AACUUUGUAGAUCUUUGUCAUGAUCGAACGGCCACUUGUAGUUGAUGCAGAACAUUUAAUCUGAGUAGCUGACACACAAAUGUACUGUCUGGUUCAUCUGUAUCUAGCUGAAUUAAAUAUUCUUUAUCAAAUAAACAUUUGAGACGAGGCUUGUUCGUCGAGUCUAUGUCUUCGUAGUUCUUCUUCAUAAGUAACAGUAGUAUGGAAUCUUAUGAAUAAAAAAAGUAUUAAAACUUUAUACCUUCUAGACUUCUGGACGUGCUACAAAAGAUUAUUUGUACACUGAGGCUUGAACAUA
rnacentral:lncRNA from 1 species